rnacentral:tRNA from 1 species
GCGACCGUGGUGGAAUUGGCAGACACGCUAGGUUUAGGACCUAGUGGGGCAACCCGUGGGGGUUCGAGUCCCUCCGGUCGCA